rnacentral:rRNA from 1 species
UACGAAGGGUGCGAGCGUUGUCCGGAAUUAUUGGGCGUAAAGAGUUCGUAGGCGGUGUGUCGCGUCGGCCGUGAAAACUUGGGGCUUAACUCUGAGCGUGCGGUCGAUACGGGCAUCACUUGAGUUCGGUAGGGGAGAAUGGAAUUCCUGGUGUAGCGGUGAAAUGCGCAGAUAUCAGGAGGAACACCGGUGGCGAAGGCGGAUCUCUGGGCCAUUACUGACGCUGAGGAGCGAAAGCGUGGGGAGCGAACAGG